rnacentral:rRNA from 1 species
UACGUAGGGUGCGAGCGUUAUCCGGAAUUAUUGGGCGUAAAGCGAUCACAGGUGGACAAGUAGGUCCGGUGUUAAAUACCUACGGCUUAACCGGGGUGCUGCAUCGGAAACCCCUUGACUAGAGGGAGGCAAAGGCAGGUGGAAUUUCCAUUGUAGGGGUUAAAUCCGUAGAUAAUGGAAGGAACACCGAAAGCGAAGGCAGCCUGCUGGGCCUUUCCUGACACUGCUUGAUCGAAAGCGUGGGGAGCAAAAGGG